rnacentral:rRNA from 2 species
GUCGAACGAACUCUGGUAUUGAUUGGUGCUUGCAUCAUGAUUUACAUUUGAGUGAGUGGCGAACUGGUGAGUAACACGUGGGAAACCUGCCCAGAAGCGGGGGAUAACACCUGGAAACAGAUGCUAAUACCGCAUAACAACUUGGACCGCAUGGUCCGAGUUUGAAAGAUGGCUUCRGCUAUCACUUUUGGAUGGUCCCGCGGCGUAUUAGCUAGAUGGUGGGGUAACGGCUCACCAUGGCAAUGAUACGUAGCCGACCUGAGAGGGUAAUCGGCCACAUUGGGACUGAGACACGGCCCAAACUCCUACGGGAGGCAGCAGUAGGGAAUCUUCCACAAUGGACGAAAGUCUGAUGGAGCAACGCCGCGUGAGUGAAGAAGGGUUUCGGCUCGUAAAACUCUGUUGUUAAAGAAGAAUAUAUCUGAGAGUAACUGUUCAGGUAUUGACGGUAUUUAACCAGAAAGCCACGGCUAACUACGUGCCAGCAGCCGCGGUAAUACGUAGGUGGCAAGCGUUGUCCGGAUUUAUUGGGCGUAAAGCGAGCGCAGGCGGUUUUUUAAGUCUGAUGUGAAAGCCUUCGGCUCAACCGAAGAAGUGCAUCGGAAACUGGGAAACUUGAGUGCAGAAGAGGACAGUGGAACUCCAUGUGUAGCGGUGAAAUGCGUAGAUAUAUGGAAGAACACCAGUGGCGAAGGCGGCUGUCUGGUCUGUAACUGACGCUGAGGCUCGAAAGUAUGGGUAGCAAACAGGAUUAGAUACCCU